rnacentral:lncRNA from 1 species
UGGUAAAAGACCAAGGGGAGAAACAGAAGCAACAUUGUUUAAUAAUUGAAGUAUAAAAGUGUAAUUCAGAAGUAGCAAGUACAUCAUCCACAGAGAUUGAAUUGUCUCCAGCAGAGAAGGCAGAAUUCCAUGCUGUCAUGCCCUCUUAUAACAAUGAAAGAAUGCACGUUAAUCUUGGUGAAGAACAGAGGUCUAAAUGUAAUCAAUGAGCAAGCAACAGUUGAUGGGGAGUUUCAAUCCUGCAUUUUUUAUUUUAUUUUCAAUUUUAUUUCAAAAACUAGAUUAGUAUUUUACUGCUCUUUUUUUUUUUUUUUUUUUAAUAAAAUACUAAGGCCUUUACAGAUUCAUGAUUUUUUAGAUACCUAUCAUUGAUAUGUUUAGUGUAAAUAUAUGCCCAAAAGGCUGUUCUGAAAAUUCACGUUGAGUAAGUUAUCUGAAUGUGUAUCUUGGUAUAUAUCCCAGGCAUGAACAGGGAGAAGACAUUUGGAAGGAAAUCAGAUCCUCAUUUCUACAGCAAAUAAAAUCCCUCAUACAUCUUUAUCUCUACA